rnacentral:lncRNA from 1 species
UCAUUGCUUCUGUGCCCUAUUGAGGUAAGGUAAUGUACUAGUAAAAUGAAUACAGUUUUAUGAAGAAAGUAAAAGGGAAAAAUGGAAUAGCACAAUAGCCAUUGCAAAUUGUGAAAAAUCAAGGCUGCUAUCGCUCAAGCAAAAGGAAUCGCUGAUAGAAUUUGUCCACAGCAGGUCCCAAAUGACAAGGCUUAUUCUCAUGUAGAAUCCUUAACGAAUGUAUAUUUAAUGAACAAUGAAACACCAUCUCCACCAA